AUGCAAGAGCUCGUGGUGAAAUCGUGGGCUGCACCCCAAUCGGCGCGCACCCACUCUUGCUACGAAGGCCAUGUUCAUAUGCAUCAUGUCCCCCAUGUUUCUUCGGGCGACGAUUGCUAUGUCUGUUUGAAUGCUGUUUGUGUGAGUUCCACAAUAAAAGCAUGUUACAAUCAGCGAAAGAACUUUACUGCCUCUUACACUCAUCACUGUGUCACUCGCCCUGUCUCAGAACAGUGCAGAGCCACAACCCAUGAUUAUACUGGCCUCGCGAGAGUGCCAACACCACAUAAACACGGUGUCACCCUCAAUGUUCAAAUGCAUCAUGUCCCCCAUGUUUCUCCGGGCGACGAUUGCUAUGUCUGUUUGAAUGCUGUUUGUGUGAGUUCCACAAUAAAAACAGGUAUACAAUCAGCGAAAGAACUUUACUGCCUCUUACACUCAUCACUGUGUCACUCGCCCUGUCUCAGAACAGUGCAGAGCCACAACCCAUGAUUAUACUGGCCUCGCGAGAGUGCCAACACCACAUGAACACGGUGUCACCCUCAAUGUUCAGAUGCAUCAUGUCCCCCAUGUUUCUUCGGGCGACGAUUGCUAUGUCUGUUUGAAUGCUGUUUGUGUGAGUUCCACAAUAAAAGCAUGUUACAAUCAACUAAAGAGCUUUACUUCCUCUUACACUCAUCUCUGUGUCACUCGCCCUGUCUCAGAACAGUGCAGAGCCACAACCUAUUAUUAUAAUGGCCUCGCGAAGGAGCGAGAGUGCCAACACCACAAAGACACAUGCAUCAUGUCCCCCACAUCACUAUGGGUGACGAUUGCUAUAUGUGUUUAAAUGAUGUUUUUGUGAGUAAAAAUUGGACUAAAGAAGCAUAUAUACAAAUUCUUGCACCCAACGUUGUGUCACUCGCCCUGUCUCAAACAGCGCAGAGCCACAGUCCAUGGUUAUAAUGGCCUCAUGAGGGCGCAAGAGUGUCACACCAUUUCGCGACGCGCCCGCCCUCCCGCCAGUGCUUCCAGCCUCGCGGGGGCGGGGCCCUGAUUAAAAUAAGCCAUCAGUGGCUGUAGACGUAACGCGUCCGCCGUGUCAUCUCAUGGACGGUAAGAGGGCUAUCCCGGGCGUUUCACCGUGGAUACUGGGAAUAAUUCACGACGGAUAUUCUCUCCAAUUCAAACGCAGACCUCCCCGCUUCAAUGGCGUGGUCCCGUCACUGACUUUGCCCCAAAACCGUCCUGUUCUGCGACAGGAAGUUCUCAGUCUGCUCGAGAGAGAGCGAUAGAGCGAAAUUUCCCCUCAGAUCGAGCGGAAUGCGCAUGUUGAAUUAUCUGGACGAUUGGCUGAUUUUAGCCCACUCAAGAGAUGUGCUAUCAGUCACGUGGAAACAAUGCUUCGCCGUUUGGAUACGCUGGGACUGCGUGUGAAUAUGCAGAAGAGCGUGUUUUUACGAGUCGGACUGUAACAUAUCUGGGAAUAUGUUUGGACUCGAUGGCGAUACAAGCCCAUCUCUCUCUAGAGCAUUUCAUCGACUCUGCGCUGUUUCUGACUGGGCAGGUCGUUUGCACUGAGGGAAUUUCAGAGGCUUCUGGGACUGAUGGCGGCGGCUUCUUCAGUGUGCCAUCUGGGUCUGCUACAUUGCGGCCGCUACAGUUUUGGCUGUAACUCGAGUUCCGCCGAGGGCGUGGUCUUCGGUCCACAAGCACUUACGGUCAUUCACAGUUGCGUCAGCACUCUGAGACCGUGGAACAGCCCGGAAAUGUUCAGCCCAGGAGUUCUUUUCUCUGCGAACGCGAUCUAGGCUGGGGAGCAGUGCGUCUGGGCCUGUGGUCGGAGUCACAGAGAAGGUGACACAAAACCGUUUGGAAUAAUGGAAGCGGUGUCCUAAUAUCCCUGCAAGCCUUUCGGUCGAAAUUGGAGCGGAAACAUGUACUGAUUCAAACCGACAACACGUCUGUGGUCUCGUACAUAAAUCGCCAGGGCGGCGUGCGCUCCAGAGCUCUAUUCAAACAGGCAGCGAGUUUCCUGUUGUGGGCGGACCGACACUUAAUCUCCAUAGGAGCGUCGCACAUCCCUGGUACUUUGAACCGUGGAGUGAGCAUGCUUUUGAGGAACGGGAUUCCUCAAGGAGAUGUUGGCUUCACCCAAGAUCAGAUCUAAUGUUUUGGGAGGGAGGAAGUGGAUUGUUUGCCACGAGCGAGAACUCGUUUGCUAUCUCACCCCCCCUGCUGGGAGAUGCUCUGACAUCGCGCUGGCCGGAAGCCAGGCUUACACAUUCCCUCCUGUGAAGAUUCUGCCUGUGUUGUGCAAAAUCAGGGAGGAGAAAGCAUCAGUUAUACUCGUGGCCCCGAACUGGCCGAAUCAGCCCUGGUUCGCGGACCUGAGAGAGUUACUGAUGGCUCCCCCAUGGCGAAUCCCCCUCAAGCAGGACCUGCUGUCUCAGGCGAAUGGCACAAUAUAGCACCCCAGCCCCGAGCUGUGGAACCUUCAUGUGUGGCAGCUGCGGGGACCCUAAUGAGCGGGACACUCUGCACUGACGAGUGCUAAACACACUUACUGAGACGCGAGCAUCAUCAAACAUUCGCUGCUACGCGCAGAAGUGGUGAGUUUUCACAAAAUGGUGCGAGAACAUUUAUAUUGACCCGGGGACCUGUUCAGUGUCGGAUGUUUUGCGCUUUCUACAGCACAGUUGGAUAGCGGGAGUUUGAAACCAUCCACGCUGAAGGUGUAUGUGACCGCUAUUGCCGCUUUCGUUCCCCGGUUACGGGUAAACAAACGGUAAGCACGCUCUGGUAUUCAGUUUUCUCAGGGGAGCAAGUAGAUUGUGUACUUCAUGGCCGCCCUCCGUGGGAUUUCGCUCUAGUUUUGAGGGCUCUAUCUGCUAUUACCGUUCGAGCCAUUAGCUUCGAUUGCGGUUAAGGAGCUUCCCUGAAGACUGCCUUGCCUCUUGCUCUCGCCUCAGCGAAGUGCCUUGGAGAAUUUCGUGAGUGUUUGGUGAACGAUAUUGCAUUGGUUUCGGGCCUGGCGACUGUAAUGUCACUCUCCGGCCGAGACCGGGUUUCGUUUCGAAGUGAAGUCACUCAAUACACCGUUUUGUUUCCCUGCCCGCCUUAUCUGUUGAGCUGUCAGCCUCGCGCGACGCUGAUGCUCAGAGCGCCAGGACCCUGUUAGGGUUUUACGGAUGUAUAUGAAUUGCUCGGCCGCCUUUCGUCAGUCGGACCAGCUGUUCGUGUGCUUGGUGGAUGUAAUAAGGGACGUGCUGUUUCUAAACAGAGACUUUCUCACUGGAUCGUGGACGCUAUCAAAUGCCAGGGGAAGGAUUACCCCCUCAACAUCAGAGCUCAUUCUGCGAGGACAUUAUAAAUGCUUCCUGAUGGGCCUGGUCUAGAGGUAUGUCUGUCCAGUAUUUAUGUUUUGCUGCUGGCUGGUCUUCCCAGAACACAAUCGCCAGGUUUUACAAGCUGGAUGUACCCUCUGUAGCGUCACAUGUUUUUCGGUGAGUUAAGUUUUAUUCAUUAAAGCUGUUAUAACCAGCUAUACAGUAGUUACCAUGGCUGCUAACUCUGUGUUAUGGUUUAAAUGGUUUAUGCAGCAGUCACCGCAAACGCCGUCGACUCUGUUUAACUCUCAUGCUUGAGUGCUUAUUGCUUUGUGUCUGCCCUGGUUAGUGCAGAUUUCGAUAUAUUGCUUGAAGUUAUGCAUAUUUUGUUAGGGUCGGAGCAGAUGUCUCAUUGGCCUAGUUCCGCCUAUCAGAUGCAAGCACUCUUAGCGACAAGGCCAUUGGCUAGAACUGUACUGCUUGUGUGAGGGUGAUUGACUCCGUUCAGGGCUUAUCUUCACUGCUCUCACGGCGGGAUUUUAUACAGUUCCCAUAUACGUCUUAGCUGACGUAAUGUUGAGUUACCGCCUCGAGAGGGAACGUCUCCGGUUACUAUCGUAACCUCGGUUCCCUGAGAGGCGGGAACGAGACAUUACGUUAGCCGCCGUGGUCGCUGUUUGAUCAGCUGUGCUAGCGUUCAGUCGUGAUUCUGACGUAAUUUUCGCGCCCAUGCAUUUUAUACUGCACGCUUACCCGCCAGUAUUUGCAUGCUUCGCGUCAAUUAGCCAGCUGUCCCCAGCUGGCGUUAGCCAAUAAGAUUUCAGUGAAAGUGGAGAAGGUAAGAGUUCCCAUAUACGUCUUAGCUGACGUAAUGUCUCGUUCCCGCCUCUCAGGGAACCGAGGUUACGAUAGUAACCGGAGACGUUUUACUGUGGUAUAGUAAUAGCACAUUAAUCACCGAAUUAACUAUAGUUGUACCACUGUAAUGGUAGUGUUUUAAUGUGCUUUUAUAUGACUUAUUUCACAGUAAUCACAUUUACUGUACCAUGCUUGUAAUAACUUUUUAAUGUAAAAAAAAAAAAAAAAAAAAAAAAAAAACAUUUUUCCCAUCUUGCAGUUCAAUUCAUAUUUGUUUAUAUCUUAAAUAUUUUGCUCACAGAUCACUAUUAACAUUGUGUAUAUAAUUCUGUUUUAUUUUCUUUCCCCUUGUAUUAAUUUU
rnacentral:lncRNA from 1 species